GAGUUUGAUCCUGGCUCAGGAUGAACGCUGGCGGCGUGCUUAACACAUGCAAGUCGAACGGGGAUGCCAUUUUCGAGGUGAUUAGUUUACUAAGAGCCAAGAUGUUGGCAUCUUAGUGGCGGACGGGUGAGUAACGCGUGGGUAACCUGCCUUAUACAGGGGGAUAACACUUAGAAAUAGGUGCUAAUACCGCAUAAGCGCACGGGGCUGCAUGGCCCAGUGUGAAAAACUCCGGUGGUAUAAGAUGGACCCGCGUCUGAUUAGCUUGUUGGCGGGGUAACGGCCCACCAAGGCGACGAUCAGUAGCCGGCCUGAGAGGGUGGACGGCCACAUUGGGACUGAGACACGGCCCAAACUCCUACGGGAGGCAGCAGUGGGGAAUAUUGGACAAUGGGGGGAACCCUGAUCCAGCGACGCCGCGUGAGUGAAGAAGUAUUUCGGUAUGUAAAGCUCUAUCAGCAGGGAAGAAAGAAAUGACGGUACCUGACUAAGAAGCCCCGGCUAACUACGUGCCAGCAGCCGCGGUAAUACGUAGGGGGCAAGCGUUAUCCGGAUUUACUGGGUGUAAAGGGAGCGUAGACGGUUACGCAAGUCUGGAGUGAAAGGCGGGGGCCCAACCCCCGGACUGCUUUGGAAA
rnacentral:rRNA from 1 species